rnacentral:rRNA from 1 species
GACGAACGCUGGCGGCGUGCUUAACACAUGCAAGUCGAACGGAAAGGCCCUGCUUUUGUGGGGUGCUCGAGUGGCGAACGGGUGAGUAACACGUGAGUAACCUGCCCUUGACUUUGGGAUAACUUCAGGAAACUGGGGCUAAUACCGGAUAGGAGCUCCUGCUGCAUGGUGGGGGUUGGAAAGUUUCGGCGGUUGGGGAUGGACUCGCGGCUUAUCAGCUUGUUGGUGGGGUAGUGGCUUACCAAGGCUUUGACGGGUAGCCGGCCUGAGAGGGUGACCGGCCACAUUGGGACUGAGAUACGGCCCAGACUCCUACGGGAGGCAGCAGUGGGGAAUAUUGCACAAUGGGCGGAAGCCUGAUGCAGCAACGCCGCGUGCGGGAUGACGGCCUUCGGGUUGUAAACCGCUUUCGCCUGUGACGAAGCGAGUGACGGUAAUGGGUAAAGAAGCACCGGCUAACUACGUG